GGGCGAGUGGCGGAAUUGGUAUACGCGCACGACUCAAAAUCGUGUUCCUUGCGGAGUGAGGGUUCGAUUCCCUCCUCGCCCACCA
rnacentral:tRNA from 1 species